UACGUAGGGUGCAAGCGUUGUCCGGAUUUAUUGGGCGUAAAGAGCGUGUAGGCGGCCAAGCAGGUCCGUUGUGAAAACUGGAGGCUUAACCUCCAGACGUCGACGGAAACCGCGUGGCUAGAGUCCGGAAGAGGAGAGUGGAAUUCCUGGUGUAGCGGUGAAAUGCGCAGAUAUCAGGAAGAACACCAAUGGCGAAGGCAGCUCUCUGGGACGGUACUGACGCUGAGACGCGAAAGCGUGGGGAGCGAACAGG
rnacentral:rRNA from 1 species